rnacentral:rRNA from 1 species
UUUUGGGAGCUUGCUCCCAAAAGUUAGCGGCGGACGGGUGAGUAACACGUGGGCAACCUGCCUAUAAGACUGGGAUAACUUCGGGAAACCGGAGCUAAUACCGGAUCAUUCUUUUCUACACAUGUAGAAAAGCUAAAAGACGGUUUACGCUGUCACUUAUAGAUGGGCCCGCGGCGCAUUAGCUAGUUGGAGAGGUAACGGCUCACCAAGGCCACGAUGCGUAGCCGACCUGAGAGGGUGAUCGGCCACACUGGGACUGAGACACGGCCCAGACUCCUACGGGAGGCAGCAGUAGGGAAUCUUCCGCAAUGGACGAAAGUCUGACGGAGCAACGCCGCGUGAGUGAUGAAGGUUUUCGGA